rnacentral:rRNA from 1 species
AGUGAACGCUGGCGGUAGGCCUAACACAUGCAAGUCGAACGGCAGCACAGUAAGAGCUUGCUCUUACGGGUGGCGAGUGGCGGACGGGUGAGGAAUACAUCGGAAUCUACUUUUUCGUGGGGGAUAACGUAGGGAAACUUACGCUAAUACCGCAUACGACCUACGGGUGAAAGCAGGGGAUCUUCGGACCUUGCGCGAUUGAAUGAGCCGAUGUCGGAUUAGCUAGUUGGCGGGGUAAAGGCCCACCAAGGCGACGAUCCGUAGCUGGUCUGAGAGGAUGAUCGGCCACACUGGAACUGAGACACGGUCCAGACUCCUACGGGAGGCAGCAGUGGGGAAUAUUGGACAAUGGGCGAAAGCCUGAUCCAGCCAUACCGCGUGGGUGAAGAAGGCCUUCGGGUUGUAAAGCCCUUUUGUUGGGAAAGAAAAGCAGCAGGUUAAUCCCCCGCUGUUCUGACGGUACCCAAAGAAUAAGCACCGGCUAACUUCGUG